rnacentral:lncRNA from 1 species
UAGUCUUAUCCCUUCUGUUUUCCAAUUUCUUGAAGUUUUUUGUCCAAUUGGCACUAUUGGUCUUUUUACAUCUGACUUUUGAACCCUCUUAAAAGGCACAUAGACGGGUCAUGCUUCCUUGCUAGCUCUGUUCCUUCUAGAGUUACGAACUUAAUUGCCUGAGAGAAAAACUAUUUUAAAAAAAGAAAUAAAGCACAGCUGCUUUGACCUGGAACAAGCCUUCCUUCCCUGAAAGGAUUGCCUAGGAUCUCCUUCCAGAACAAAGGAGAAUUUCAAGAUCUGCAGAGCUCCAAUACUGCUUACGCUGUAUAGAAGAGAGAGUACACUACAUAUAAAAAGUCUUCAAACCAUUCCUUCAGAAGUUCAAUUCACCCCAAUUAAAAAACACCUAAGGAUUAAUUCAGUUAGGGAAUAGUCCCUUGGUCUCUCUGCCCAUUACUUCCACUGAAUGUUUAAUGGAAGAACCUUGGUCUUACUGGUUAAGUCUGUAUAUCAUUCAUUGAAAAGACAACAGUUUUAUCGAACAUGCUGAUGAAUGUCUGUGUCAGAGUGGUGUAAAAAUGGUGAUUAGAGCACGCUGGUGGGCAAUGGAGAAAUUUAUAUCUAUUGUGGGUAGAACUCAUUCUGAAGGUUAAAGGAUUUGUUGUUGCUUUCUCAGUUGUGCUUUCAAAUAGAUCAAAUAUGAUCUAAGUGCGGUGCAGAUGAGGAUCUGGAUCAUGUAAGAAAGGGAAGUAGUUUAAUAGGAUUCUGAGGUUGGAAAUAACCAAAGUAGAGCAGAUCUAGAAAAUCCCUGUUUGUGGGUUUUUGGGGGUUUUUUUCGCAAUCUUCAGAAUUUUGAUAUAAAAUGUAUUAUCAUAUGGGGUCAUUAUAUUAAGAAACAGCAAUUUAAGAAACUUCAACUAAGCAAUAAUUUUUGAGAUAAUUCUGAGCUAGUAAUUAGAUUUAUCUAUUCUUUUAACAUCUAAAAUUUACAAACAAAGAUCACAAGGAAGGAUUCAUACAAAAUAUAAGAAAGGAUAUUUACCUUGUUCAAUCAAGUAUGCUUAAAAAAACCCCACAAAAUAAAUAUAAAAAAAUUAAAGCA